rnacentral:rRNA from 1 species
CCUACGGGAGGCAGCAGUGGGGGAUAUUGCACAAUGGGGGAAACCCUGAUGCAGCGAUGCCGCGUGAAUGAAGACGGCCUUCGGGUUGUAAAGUUCUGUCGCAGGGGACGAAAAUGACGGUACCCUGCAAGAAAGCUCCGGCAAACUAGGGGCCAGCCGCCGCGGUAAUACGUAGGGAGCAAGCAUUGUCCGGAAUUACUGGGUGAAAGGGGAGCGGAGGCGGGUGGAUAAGUUGAAUGUGAAAUCUAUGGGCUCAACCCAUAGCUGCGUUCAAAACUGUUCGUCUUGAGUGAAGUAGAGGCAGGCGGAAUUCCUGGGGUAGCGGUGAAAUGCGUAGAUAUUAGGAGGAACACCAGUUGCGAAGGCGGCCUGCUGGGCUUUUACUGACGCUGAGGCUCGAAAGCGUGGGUAGCAAACAGGAUUAGAUACCCCUGUAGUC